AAUUUCAAGGGUUCUCCAUAGCUAGGGUUUGUUUCAAGCUUCCAAGCUCCAUAAGCAAGGAAAACUGAAAUUCGGGCUAAAAUGGGGAAAAUACCAAGUUGUGGACGAAAUGGUAAAAGUAGCCAUUUUCGCAUACGAGGUAAGUUCAUGUGUAAAUAAUGUACCAUAAUUGUUAUUUUUAAGUUAUUGAUGUUAAUUAUAUGAUAUGCUGAUUUUUUUUUAUCGUGAAAUAUUAUGCUUUGUGGUUAAUGUUGAGUAAUAUACAAAUUAUGUUUACUACUUGAUAAAUAUCAAUUGCUACCGAGUAUCGGUUCCGUUAUUUCGUGGAAGACGGCAAAGAUGUGAGAUCGAGGAAAAAAUCCCGUUUGAACCUUAGGAAUAGAUUAGGAUACAAGUGCCAUGUCACUAGGAUGGUUGAGCAUCCGAACUCGUUGAGUUGAGUCUGAGUUCACUUAUGGAUGCGAAUGUCCGAACUCGUUGAGUUGAGUCCGAGUUCGAGAGAUGUAAAUAGGCAUCCGAGCUCGUUGAGUUGAGUCUGAGUUCACUUAUGGAUGCGAACGCCCGAGCUCGUUGAGUUGAGUCCGAGUUCACUUAUGGGCGGGUUACAUGGUAGCUUGGCUACAAAUGUGGUACUUAUGUGCAAACUUUCCAUGUAUCCGAAUUAUAUUCCGAUGUGUUCAACGGGUAAAGUUCUACUAAAAUGGAGGAAUACUCAAGUUGAAAGGGGCGUAUUGGUAAGUGUUGUGAAAUGGAUACUUUGAACAGGUAUGUACUUAACCCUCGGGUUGAAAAAUCGAUAUAACAACAAUAUGGUAAGAUGAUAAAUGAAAAUGUGAUAUGAAUGUCUUGGUGAUGAUUAUGCAAAUGAUGUUUUAUGUUUGCUUAUAUGGUUAUGUUACUUGCUAUUUGCAUGUGAACUUAUUAAGCAUUUAUGCUUACUCCCUCCUUUUCAUUCCUUGUAGUUUUGACAAGCUAGCUCGGAAAUCGGGAACGGUCGGAGGCUCGCUCACACUAUCCGUAUACCAUCUUGGCAUAAUGGCUUGUAUAUUUUGAGUAUGGCAUGUAUAGCAUUAUAAUCAUUUUGUAUAUAUGGUCUUAUGAUAUGGUUAUUGAGUGGUAUGGAAAUGCUUGGUAAUGAUUAGCCAUUGGAAUGGCUAAUCAUGAUCAUAUUUGGUGUUAUGUAUGUCAAAUUGCUAGCUAAUCCAUGGAAACCAUGAAAUAGGUAAAAUUUACCAUAAAAUAGAUUCAGACAGCAGUAGUGACGUGAAUUUGAAAAAUCACUAAAAAUAGUAGAAAUGGAAUUAAAUAAUGAAUAAGUUAUGGAAUCGAAUCUUGAUGAGUCUAUUUUCAUAUGGAAGAAGCAAAACAGGUAUAUGAGCUAUAUUUUAUGAGAUGUUUAAUUUUUUGUGAAACAGGGCCAGAGCGAUUUCUGGAUCCCCUGUUCUGACUUUUAAAAUUCACCAUAAAUUUUACAAAGAUAAUUAGAAGUCAUGAUUUAUAUGUACAGAUUCCUUAUUGAGUCUAUUUUUAUUAGAGACAAACGGCAUAGUCAUUCAAGCUCUGUACAAAGAGAUAUCUGAUUCGUAAUACACAGUGGUCAGAGUAGUCGAACCCUGAAACAGGGGAGACUUUAACUAAUAAACUGUACUAAUUGGCCUGAUCAAAAAUUCUAUAAAAAAAUAGUAGAUAUAUAUAUGAGUCUAGUUUCAGUAAAAAUUUACGGAAUUGUAUUUCGAGUUUCGGAACUUGAGAUAUGAUUUUUAAAGCGACUGUGAUGCAGUUAGCCAGCUUGUCUGGAAAUUUUAAAAUGAAUUGUAUGAGCUGUUUAAGUAAUGAAUUAAGUCCGUUAAAACCUCGUGUUCGACUCCGGCAACGGUCUCAGGUAUGGGACGUUACAUUUAGUGGUAUCAGAGCAGGUUUAGUCGGUUCUUGGACUAACCCAGCAUGUGUUAAAGUUUAGCUAUACAUGCCACUGAUUUGUGAUAGUGUGAUGUCUUCCGACGCGUAUGAGUACCGUCUUAUUUAGACAGGGUACUCUCCUACCGUGCUGUGCUGACCAUGUUCAAUGUUAUGUGAAGGUAUUUGAGUAAAAUUAUGAUUAUGAUAAGUCUCGGUUCAGAAAAGUAUGAAUAAAGGUUUAUGAUACAUAUGUGAUAAUAUGUGAGAUGAAAGUUCAUGUUGUGAUAAAUAUUCAUAUUUGCUUAAUGCUCAUAUGAUGUAGUGUAUGUGGCUUACUUGAUAAGAUGAACGGAAUAAAUAGAAAGUAGUAGAGGUAUGAAUAAAGGUCAUAAUAUUAUGAUACGAGUGAAAAUGUCCUUGUCUUGAUUUGGACGUCGAAUGUUGAUAAAUGUUAAUGAUAUAUAAUUUUUAUGAGAUAAAGGAUUAUAAUGAAAUGAACUUAUCUAUGUUAAAUUGUUGGACUGAAUUAUAUGAUUGUAAUGAUAUGUACAUGAUGAUGCACGAAAUGAAAGUUGUGAUUGUGAUGCAAAUAUCUAUGUUUGUUUGGCCUUAUAUAAUGUCAUGAGCAUGAAUUAAUUUAAUUAAAUGAAUGGAUAAGUAAAGCUGUCUAGAAAACAUAGAAUGUAUGCAUAAGUAUAUUGUCUAAAUUGGACAAUAGGAAAAUUGGUGUAAGCCAACAUGAAUAAAUGACAUGAUUUUGAUGAUGUUACUAUGAUGAUGGAAGUUGUGUCAUAUGUGUAUGUAUAAGAAAGUCGAGUCAGAGGUCCUACAACCCCUCCCCCUUACCGAAGUGGUACUUAUAAUGGAAUUUCAUGAGAUUUGUAUUGAAUAAGUUUUCGGUUGAGAACCCAAAGAGUACAGUGAUAGAAUAAUUAUAAGUAUGAUUAGAGAUUGAAAAUGAGCUGAUAAGUAAAGUCAGAGCAAGUAAAGUAUCGGAUUGACGUAAAGAUUAUUGGAGUUAUGCACUGUCCCAGUUGGAAAAGGAAUUCUCCUUGGUAAACCGAAUUACUCAGGUGUAAGGUUGAGAAAAGUGUAAAUCGAAAUUUAUUCAGAAUUGGCCUUCUUUAGUGAAUGGUUUAAUAUGAAAUUUGUGACGGCAAAACUAGUUGGGGAAAUGAUAAUUGAAAUGUGAACUAUCUGAGUGUGACAGUUAUGACUGGACAGAUUUAGCAGUCUCUUUUGAGAUGUUCUAUGUGUUUACCCGUUCUCAAAAAUAUUUCUAUGGCUAUUGAUCUUCUGAAGAAAUUCUUGUUAUAUGGGAAUGUCUUCUAAUUCCGGUGUUGGAUGAAAGCAUUGGUAGUCUGACUAGUUUAUAAUUUAUAUUGCUCUAUUUCAUCGGGUAUUCUAUUUCAUUUCGUCUUAUAAGAAUUGAUGAGAGAAUACGUAUGAUAUUAUGAUUCUGUUUCUUCUACUUGAUGCUUCAUCUGAUAUAUAUGUAUGGGAAGAUAUAUUGAUCUUGUUAUAUUUGAUUUCAGUGGGAUUAAAUGAUGUUUUCUUCUGGACUUUCUUUCUUUGAAGAAUUAUCGGGGUAUUCCGUAUUUUCUCUAUGAGUUUGGUUUUCGAUUCUCCGGCAUAGUAUCGUAUCUUGGGUUUCUUUAUCCUGGAUCUCUUUAUUCUGGAUUUCUUUAUUCUGUGUUUCUCUAUCUUGGAUUUCUUUAUUCGAUUUUCUUGUUAUCUUUGUUCCAUAAUUUGUCAAUUACGACUCAUGUUCGAAGUGGGUUCUUCAACUCGUGAUAAUCAUGUAAAAUAUGACUAUACUUCUAAUUUGAUCUUAGUAAUGUGGUGAUUUUAGUAUUGGGAUUUUUUCUAAUUUCUAUGUAAGGAUUUGACAUCAAUAAAGGCAUAGGUGAUAAAAGUACGAGUUUCAGUCGGUAUGGUAAAUUAUUUAUUUGAAAGAUUUCAUGUGACAAUUAUGUCAAGAUUAUUUUUCCCAAGUCUGAUAAUAGAAUUUCAUUUUGUACGGAUAAAAGAGUAAAUAGUUUGAACGAGAAGUGUAUAUUUAUUAGAAAAGAGUUGGAUAUUAGUUUAAGUCACUACGAAUGAUAAGGUUUCCAUCUUGUGAAAGCUGAUAAGUUUAUUACAUGUUGACAGAGUUCGGAUAGAUGAGAAUAUUGGUAACUAAAGCGUCUGAACUAGACUAGUCUACAUUGAGUAAAGACUUCCUGACUUUCAAUAAUGUAUUGUUGUAUGAAUUGUGAUGUGUUUCAAGAUAGUGAGGUAAUGUGAUAGUUUAGAGCAUCUGAUGUUACCUAAAAUCGGAGUUGUUAAAGGGGUUAAAGCCGAGCAUUGGGAUCUAUCAAAAUUAUCCUUUUCAGUGUUGAUAUUGGGAUGGAAAUGAUAAGGAUUAUUCUUGAGGCCAUAUCAGAAUUAUUUCUAUGGCGGAAAGAGGAAAAUGUGAUGUAUCCUAUUGUUAAAUGUUUGGCGAGAUCUAUAAAUCAUAUCUGUAUUGAAUGAAUUCCUACUCAUCAGAUUCAUGGAAUUUCAGGUCUCUUUGAUUGUUGGAUUUCUUGGAAUUCUGGUCUGCAUUAAAUCAAGUUGAGAUCUGAGUUUUAUGUCAUGAUAUCAUGGGAAACUGAGAAGGGUUGAAAGUUUAAGAACAGUUGAGAGUUGAGACUGUAAGCUUUUAGAUCAUAUGAGAAAUUGAAGAGAUGUAUUGGAGGUACAGUCGAAGCGCAAGUUCUUCGGCACCGAAUAUGAGAUUAAAAGUGAAGACCACUUUUCUGGUAAGAUUUUCGGGGACGAAAAUCCCUGAAGGGGGAGAGUUGUAAUAUCCUAAUUUUGGGCCUAGUCGAAAUAGUGGUUUUGUGACCACAAAAUUCGAGAUAGAAAUAAUUAUUUUAUGAUUAUUUUAAGGUCUAUGAUAUGAUUGCAUGAUUGUGUGAAAAUUUCGUGAUGAAAUUCUAUGCCUAAAGUGCUUAAAUUGAAAGUAGGGACUAAAUCGAAUAAGUUGCAAAACUUGCAUUCUAGAAGUUUUUAGUAUGAAAUUGUUUUGGAAUAUUAAUGAGGAGGUCUUAAAUAGCAAUUUGACCAAUUUUAAGUUCAUGGAUAAAAUUAGGACAUGGAAGGAAUUUUGGAAAGUUUAGUAGUAAGGGUAUUUUGGUCAUUUAGUUAUUAAAAUGAAUUAAAACCAAAAUUAAAAGCCAAUUUUUGUCCAUCUUCUUCAUUAGGCCGAAAUUUCAAGGGUUCUCCAUAGCUAGGGUUUGUUUCAAGCUUCCAAGCUCCAUAAGCAAAGAAAACUGAAAUUCGGGCUAAAAUGGGGAAAAUACCAAGUUGUGGACGAAAUGGUAAAAGUAGCCAUUUUCGCAUACGAGGUAAGUUCAUGUGUAAGUAAUGUAGCAUAAUUGUUAUUUUUAAGUUAUUGAUGUUAAUUAUAUGAUAUGCUGAUUUUUUUUAUCGUGAAAUAUUAUGCUUUGUGGUUAAUGUUGAGUAAUAUGCAAAUUAUGUUUACUACUUGAUAAAUAUCAAUUGCUACCGAGUAUCGGUUCCGUUAUUUCGUGGAAGACGGCAAAGAUGUGAGAUCGAGGAAAAAAGCCCGUUUGAACCUUAGGAAUAGAUUAGGAUACAAGUGACAUGCCACUAGGAUGGUUGAGCAUCCGAACUCGUUGAGUUGAGUCCGAGUUCACUUAUGGAUGCGAAUGUCCGAACUCGUUGAGUUGAGUCCGAGUUCGAGAGAUGUAACUAGGCAUCCGAGCUCAUUGAGUUGAGUCCGAGUUCACUUAUGGAUGCGAACGCCCGAGCUUGUUGAGUUGAGUCCGAGUUCACUUAUGGGCGGGUUACAUGGUAGCUUGGCUACAUAUAUGGCACUUAUGUGCAAACUUUCCAUGUAUCCGAAUUAUAUUCCGAUGUGUUCAACGGGUAAAGUUCUACUGAAAUGGAGGAAUACUCAAGAUGAAAGGGACGCAUUGGUAAGUGUUGUGAAAUGGAUACUUUGAACAGGUAUGUACUUAACCCUCGGGUUGAAAAAUCGAUAUAACAACAAUAUGGUAAGAUGAUAAAUGAAAAUGUGAUAUGAAUGUCUUGGUGAUGAUUAUGCAAAUGAUGUUUUAUGUUUGCUUAUAUGGUUAUGUUACUUGCUAUUUGCAUGUGAACUUAUUAAGCAUUUAUGCUUACUCCCUCCUUUUCAUUCCUUGUAGUUUUGACAAGCCAGCUCGGAAAUCGGGAACGGUCGGAGGCUUGCUCACACUAUCCGUAUACCAUCUUGGCAUAAUGGCUUGUAUAUUUUGAGUAUGGCAUGUAUAGCAUUAUAAUCAUUUUGUAUAUAUGGUCUUAUGAUAUGGUUAUUGAGUGGUAUGGAAAUGCUUGGUAAUGAUUAGCCAUUGGAAUGGCUAAUCAUGAUCAUAUUUGG
rnacentral:lncRNA from 1 species